rnacentral:lncRNA from 1 species
UAAAAGAAAAAAAUAUUUAAAGAAAAAGCCAUAGGAAAAGAAAUAAAAACCAUACCUCACAUCUAUAGAUCAAUCUUCUGUCUUCGAUUCAAGAAACUGUUCAAGAAAAUCUCUCCACUGCAAUAGAUAGAGGUACCCUUAUUACUCUUCUUACGAUUCUAUUAUGUGAUUAAUCUUGAUAUUCAAACAAUUUAAAGGUUCAUGUAAAUUAUGCUUACACUAUGUGUUCCUAACUUUGUUCAAGUACUAAUUCAACAAAGAAAUCAAUGGGUUUUGACACUAUUUUCUAAAUUUUUUUUAUAAUACAUCUUUAGAGGAAAGAGCACCUUUCAUUAGCAUUAUUUAAACUCAAAACUACACUGGACAUACAAAUCGUAGCUACGUUACUUUGGACGCAUGAUGAUAUCUUUGAAAAAAGUAAUCAUUGUCCAUUUGGCUUUGAACAUUUGUUGGCUUUUAAGAGCAUAUGCAUCGCAAGUAUCUCCAUGAUUUUUCCAUUAAUAAAAAGAAAAAGAAAAAAGAAAGAGAGAGCAAGGGAAUCGUCUCUUGUUUGAGAUACUUUGGCAAACUCAUGAGAUACUUCUUGUACACUUGCCAUUUUAUGGUCAAUGCCAAUCUCAUGAGAAACUUCUAAUACAUUUUUCAUCUUAUGAAUGGUUAAUGAUUUUUCAAAAGAUUCCAAGCGAUAAUCAUGCUCUAAGGCUCUUUUAAAUAACAAUCUAGGGUAAAAUGCAAAUUCACCAAAUUUUUUUUGAUGUAGUGGAGAAAGUGGACGAAACGAAAGGCAUAAGGAACUCAUGAAAUAAGAAGUUUGUUAGAAUUUGUACCACAUCCAGACUUUGAGAGAUUUAUGGACAAUAUAUAAGUGUAUGGUAAUUCUCCAUUCAUUAGUUAGCUUUUAGGUGUGAGUUAGGCUCAUACUAAUAUGAUAUCAAAGCCCAAGGUUCCAAUUUCUGGAUUGUGGAUCACACCCGUGGAUGUCCAGUCCCACAAACUUCGCGGUUCAGAAUUCCAAUCUUGAACGUGAGGGAGGUGUGUUAGAAUUUGUCCAACAUCCAGACUUUGAAAGAUUUGUGAUUAAUAUUUAAAUGUGUGGCAAUUCUCUACUCAUGAACUAGCUUUUAGAUGUGAGUUAGGCUCAUAUUAAUAGAGUUGACCAAAUUGAUGAAAUAAGAAAUGGACCAAAUAAUUUAUCUGAACAUUCAUUUUUUUUUAUAAAAGUUGUAGUUCAAUUUUAAUUAUUUUUUUAAAUAUAACUAUAAAAUGUCUUAAAAUGAUAUUUUUCAUAACACAACAAAUACACAAAUUCUCACUUUUCUUUUCAUAUAUCAUCUUUCUACUAAAAGUAUCUCAUAUUUUGAUUAUAACAUAUUGAUGAGCGAUUGUAAAUGCGGGGUUUGUUGUUUUCGUUUUACUAAGCUUCAGGUUUUAAAUUUAUAACCCCUAAAUGUCUGCAAGUGCACAGAUGUGCGCUGUAGUACUUAGGGUAUCGAUCCACAGAGUCUUAGUUGUUUCCGUACGAAUUCACUGCAACGCUUAAAUCAGAUUAGAACUAAAAGGGUUUUGGUUUUGGUUUUGGGUUUUUGGUUGUCACUAAAUUUAAACUAGAAAGCUAAACAAGUAAAAGCAAAUAAAAACGAAAGCAAGUGCAGGCAAGUAAAAAUCGGCUAUGAAUGAAAGCAAGUAACAAGCGAAUAAAAGCAGAAUGGAAAUCUAAGGUUGUAAACAAUUAAAGACAAACGUUGGGGCUCAAGGGGUUUCGCAGGGGUUCAUGGACUAAGCUAUGUCGAUUUUAAACAAGUGAUAAAGGUAAUCAACUAUGUAUGUUCUAGAACUCGAGGCACGGAAGUAUGAAUAGCCUACUUUCACAGCACUAAACAACUAUCUCUCGCAACCCUAAUCAGUAGGUUUCCACUCUGAUUCUGGAAGGGAGAAGAUGCAAUAGCAGAACAAGACUCAUCAACAUUCACAACUCAACUACAGGUAGGUUUCCACUCCUGUAGAAGAAUUGCUCGUUUCACCCUAGUUCAGACAAUCAAUGAAAGCUUUCGCAACAUAUCAUGUCAGAUCGGCUUCUAAGUGGCCAACAAAGAAUCACGCAGUAAGAUUAAAGGCAAACAAAGAACAUCUAGAAGAUUAAUAAUCCUAAAUCUAUCGAUUCAUAAGCAAAGACACAUGAAAUUCCCUUUGAACAAUCCCUUUAAACCCAACUGGGUAACUACUCAAACAUAUUGUAACAAAGCAUCAUAAACGAAAUUGAAAGUGCAGGAAACUAAAGAAAAGAAGGAAGAAAAACGAAGAACAGAGUUGCAGGUGGAGGCGCGAUGAUGCUCUCCAGCGGCGGCUCCUUCUUCGGGAUCGACGGCGGCGGCCUCCUCUCUAGGGUUCCACGAAAUCUCUAUCUCUUUCUAUUUUAUGUCGUCUCCACACCUUUAGGAUUGACCUAAAGGGGGUAUUUAUAGCUUCUGGGGUGGUUGUGGACACUUAGGGCUUCAAAAAUAACGAAAGGAAUUGAUCUGGGCUUUAAUUAAGUCGUCGGGAAAGUCAACGACCAAGUUCCGCGGUCGCGGUGGCUCUACCCACGGGAAAAUAGGUGUUGGCCGCGGUCCCGGGUAAUGCUCUCUUCCGGAACUGCAUUUUCUGUCAUUCUUGCAUCGGGAGUAUCUGAAGAUCUAACCGUUGGAUUGUCUCCAAAACAAGUGCAUUAGAAACCUGGUUGGAUCCUCUAUGUUGUCUCAAAUUUUGGGGGUGAUCAGACGGUGAGAAGGUCUUCAUCGCUUGUCAUACUUCUGACGGUCUGCAUUUAUCCAAUAUUGCUCAUUUGUUCCAAAUUGCAUGUCUUUUGUCCAAGUUUCCUGUAAAGUCUUUUGAAACUCUAAAAUAUUGAAAACACUUUAAAAA